GUGUGCCAGAGGCUGCUGGGGCUGCUUGCUUGCCAGGUCCUCGGGGUGGGGGCCGAGGGGGCAGGUCGUUUGAAGCUCCGCGCUGAGGGCAUGAGGAGGGAAAGAACUUGAAUCGCUCCUCUCCCAACCGAAGACAUUGUCUUUUUCUCGAUGUAGUUAGUAGGAAGGACUAGUGUAGAUCUGCCCUAAACGUGCGGCUGACCCAUUUUCCUCGUUGUAGUUCCGCCCUUUUAGAGGAGAAAUGCUUCGUGGGAGCUAAUGGUUCUCUCAGGUGAUCGAAUACAACUUCAGACCUCCCCACCCCCACCCCGGUCUCUGGACCACUCGCCAUCUCUGCAGGACUCUGGAAUCAGACUGGAAUUGAAGCUACUGAGUCCCCUGUUGUUGAUUCUUCUUGUCUCUACCCACAGCACAGCCUGGGGAAAAUCAGGACUCAGCCUGAGGACUCUCUCUCUCCCAAAAGGGGAGCGUUAAAGAGGAAGGAAUGUCCUCUGUGUUCCUGACAGCUGGACCCCAGGUGAGUUAGAAUUUCAUUUCUCUUUCUAAAAUGCCACUUCAGGUCUUGAGGGAGUGAAAAAUUUCCUUCUU
rnacentral:lncRNA from 1 species